CAUGAUUUCCCUUUACAAAGACCAUGUUGACUAUUCCCUAACAAAUUAUGUUCAUCUAUGUGUCUGACAAUUUUGUUCUUUACUAUAGUUUCAACCAGUUUGCCCGGUAUGCUUACCUUAAAGCAUGCUUACCUUGUGUAAUAAGGCCAGGACAGCAGCGACAAUCACUGAAGUGGACUUUUGUUUCAUAGCAAUAAGAAAGCUUUUGGCAUCAGCUAGCAUUUUGCCAUCAUGUAACUAUUGAAAAGAAAAAAAAAAAAAAAAAAGGACAGGAAAGUAACUGUUAAGGGUUAAAAAAAAAAUCACUCUUACAAAUUAUGACUUUUUUUUGUCACUUAAGAGAUAUUUGCAAGUAAGUUGUAAGUUAUAUUUUCAGAGUGAAUUAAAUGCUUGAGAAACAUUUCAGACUGAGAGCACUGGACACAGAAGUCCUCUGUUUAUCCAGAAGAAGGAUGUAAUUUGGAUAGUGAAACCUGCAAUGUUCCCCUCACCAUCCUAUGGUAAUAUCCCUCAACCCUGAUGGAAAAGAGAAGCCACCUCAGAAGAGGGAAGACAGUGGAAGGAUGAGGAAACUCAGGCGCAUAAAAGUAAAAAUGAUCUGCCCAAGGCAUGCAGAACGCCAGCGCUCUGCGAAUGUCUAGUUUGUGGAGGGACGCCUCCCUGUUAUCUGCGUGCAGCUUGGGAAAGAAUACAGAUAAGUAAAUGGGUUCGUUGAGAUGGAAGAGGGAGAUGACCUUGGGUAUGAAUUUAGGGUGUGGGCCACAGCACUGCUCUGUGCCUGAGGUUUGUUUGGUUCCCUCGGAGUUGAGCUAGGAGGCUUAGUUUUGCUCCUAUGAGAGCUAGACUGCACCAGGUCUUUUGCUCCUCGGGACGUCUCGGUACUGGAGGGCCCCGGUGCCUCGCAGUCCAGACCUCUUGGUGCCAUCGGUACUGGGGCAGUUUUUGUGGUCGGAGAUCGCUUUCUAGGAGGCAAAUCAUGGUGUGGCAAAAAGUGAGAGCACUUUUUUGUGGCUUUUUUAGGACCAAGGACCUUACCUGCAGGUGAGGACUGGCGAGGAGGUGUCCUGGACUUGGGGUCGGAGGCAGGUCAGAGGGAUCUCUCCAUCAUCAAUAGUUUUAGUUGACGGUUCCUAGCCUUCCUUGUCCUCGCUGUGAAUUUCUUGCAGUGGGGACACUUUUGGGAAAGGUGUGUCUCCCUCAGGCAACAGACACACUGCGAGUGGCUGUCGGCCACUGGUAAUGAAAGUCUGCAGGUCAGACAGCGUUUGAAACCUGGAGAGCCAGGCAUGUCCAAGAGGCUAAACUGAAUAGAGAAUAGGAAUAAUCCCUGUCUAAUGCCUUUUGGGCAACUGCCCGCCUGAGGCGGGGAGAAAAAAAGGGGGAUUUUUUUUUUUUAAAUGGUAAACAGAACAAAAAUGAAAGGAGAAAUCAAUAACGAGGGAAAUAACUAAGAAAGGGAAAGAAAUUAGAGGAAUAUGAGAGAUGUUAAGGGUGCUGCUAUUGUUCCAACUGAAACCAAAGGCGGUAGAGCAGGAACUGGGUAACAAUUGGUUGUGCGCACGGUGUAACCACUCGGAGCAGUGCGAGACAGCUGCCGUGCGUGCGCGGCCAACUGGGGAACUGCUACCAUAAGUCUCCGACUAGAAGCUCAGGGCACCAAGACACCUAAAGUGGAGCACCCACAGGGACACUCCUCGAAGAAGAACUUUUUGUAAUUUUGGCACAUAUCAAUGCUAUACCAUUUACAAACUUUUUUUAGAUCUUAGACAAAAUUUAUUUUAAAAUUAUUUGAGCCAUAUUUGUUUGUUAAAUCCUGAAUUUACAGCUGGGUAAAAUUAGCUGUAAUGCAUUAGGAUUUACAUUUGUAAUUUAAUUAAUACUCAUGGGAGGCAACUAUGCAGGUCUCUGUACCAAGAUGAAAUGUGCCUCAAAAAUAUGGGGAACAUUUCUGACAAAGUGGUUUUACCUUACAUCAUUUGCUUUUUUACAAAUGGAUGAAUGGAUAUAGAAAGCAAAAGAUAUGCACCUUCAUAUCUCUGAAAGGUACAUUAGCUUUUACCAAUUCUCCAUUAAUCACCCUCUUUUUCUAUGUGUGCUAAAAGCAGCAUUUAGAAUGCUCAACGUACAUGUAUUUUGUGAAGUGAAAUUAGUUAGUACCUCUUCA